ACAAUCAACUACAAAUCCGACCGGAAUCAAACAAAGCAGGAAGCCUUUUGAAGCAGUCUCCCGUAUCAUGGGAACCUUUGCAUGGGUGUUCUUCCAUGUGCUCCUUCCAACUCGGCUUUCUUGGCAGACAAUAGAACAAAGCUACAUUCUAUCUCAGCCUGCUAAUACCAGUGCACAGAUGUGUAAGACAAAGAUUUACUCACCAAGCUUCCGUAAGUCCAUCAUCCCCAACGACAUAUACUGCGUCUAAGCUGCUGCCACAAAUAUGACUUAGAGUCGUGCCCCAGUAGGACAGUGUGCCGGAAGACCAGAGGGCUGCCCAGUAAGCUUGCUCAGGAAACAGGUUUCCAGUUGAGCCAUGUGAACAGAGACCCGCUGCACACCUUCGAAUGGAAUACGCUCCAAGUCCAGAAGAAUAAGCAUGGAGCUUUGCUUAUGUUUAUGGAGCUGAAGCCCAGGGGUGCUCCGAUUGGCAGGAGUUGUGGGAAGAUCAGCCAAUCAAAGGGAGCUUCCAUUUCAGGGAAACUCCUGCUCAUUUAUUUAGCAUCUUCAGAGAUCAUCGGCUUUUCUGGGAAGAGCUUUUCUCUGAUCUGGUAGUAUCACAAGAUUGACAGAUACAUCAGCACAUCAACUGGCCAGAUGCCUUUGCAUCCUGGUCUCCUGUCGCUGCAUCAGAGCAUAGCAAGCAAGGCAUGAGGAAAAGGUGAACAGUGCUGGGAACAAGAGGAACAAGAAGCUGGAGCAGGCGUUCGAGAGGAGCACCUGGCACAAUUCAUAGAAAACCUGCCCUGGAAAUGAUAAAAGUUACCAGGAGCAUGGAGGGAGGUGCUGGUCAUGACAAAUCUCAGAUACCAGCACACCGUUCCAAGGACUCUCCUCGAUUUCCUUGUCAAGCUUGUUCACAUCUCAGCAAGGAAAAGCAAGAGCACACAAGUAAAGUCAGUCCCCCCAGAGAGAUUGCAGCAAAUGUGAAGUUUUGACCUGAGACACAAAGCUAUUUAGGGAGUGUGCAACACCAAUACAGGCCUAAUGUGCAGCUUGCUGCCCUGGCAAUGAGCCGCCAGUCUCACUUUCAUAAGCACUGGAGCCUAUGAAAUUUACAAGUCUACAGAAGCAACUUAAGAUGCUAUUACGAUCGAAGAACUCGUUAUUAAUCACAUUAUCAUAGAAUCAUUUUUGGACCUAGUGUGAUUAUAUGUGUACUUUAUGCCCUAGUUAAAUUUUUAUAGCAUUACUGGAGCUGAGACAGCUCCAAAACCCAUGAGCCCUGUUUUUGGUUGGAUGGAAAGAGGGAAGUAGCUUAUAAUUGACAGUGUUUGCUGGAUGCACAUUACGGGCCAGGUUCCACAGGCACUAUCUUGAAAACAUGCCAGGGAGGUGGACAUUAUGAGUAUAUUCAUUUUAUAUAUGAGGAAGGCAAAAGUUGUAGAAACGAAGCCUUUCAUCACGAGCUUUUUGUAGGUGGUCCCAAGUAAGCAUUGGAAACCUACAAUUUAGUGGACCUAGCAGGAGGUUUACAGCCUUCGCUGACAUCAAGAGCACAGGGAACUUCCUGGUGGCUGCUGCCUAGAAAGUUAAUUUCUCCUUGUACUUCCCUGGAUCUCCUGUACACCUCCUUCAACAAGAACACAGAGCAUAGCCUGCAAUGCAGUGGGGCUCCCCCAGCAAGUGCACAGUUAGUGCCUGCCAGUUGAGAACACAUGCCCUGUCAUCAUAGAACUAAAACUAGCAAUUCCACCACUGUGGGCCAUGCACUGGACAGAGGUUUUGUCUGUUAUUAUCAGUAAUGUACAAGCAGAUGAGAGGUGUAUUAGGUUUUUGGUUUUUUUUUUCUUUUCCAUUUUUUUCUUGUUUGAAAGAUAAGAAACGAGAUUCAGAAAAACGAGACAACUUUUCAAGGUGCAUGGCAUCUUCAUUACGUUUCUAUUGCUAUGAAAACACACCAUAAUCAAGAUAACUUAUAGAUGAAAGAGUUGAAUGGGGGCUUAUAGUUUCAGUGAGUAAGUCUAUGACCACUGGUGGGGAGCAUGGGAGCAGGCAGGCAGGCAGGCGGGCAGGCAGGCAGGCAGGGUGUUGGAGAAGUCAUUGAGAGUUUACACCCUGAUCUGCAAAAGGAAUUACGGAUAGCAGGCUUGUGAAAUCUCAAAUCCAGUAACACACCUCCUACAAAAAGGCCACACCUCCUAAUUCUUCCAGAAUAAUUCUAUCAACUGAGGACUAAGCAGUCACAUAUAUGAGUUUAUGUGGGCCAUUCUCAUUUAGACCACUCUACAUGGAUCACACAUUGUACUUCCAGGAUGAAAACCUAGGAAGAAAUAACUCCAAAGCUCAUCAUUGAUGCUCUGUAUGUAGUGCUUUUCCUCCGUAUAUGUAUUCAUUGGUUAACUGCCUCUGCUGAACCUCCCAAACACAAUUCUAAAGUGACAACUUCUUUCGUCAUCACAUAUUUAUAAAGUUAUGCAAGGUAGUCUACAUUGAAUAUGUAAGUCACAUUUCAAGGCUAUUAUCCAUCCCUCUGCUUGUGCCCUGCUACUCAUGGCUUAAGAAGGUUCCAGGUUAUCAGGGACACUGUUUUUUGAGCCUUUCCUCUCUUUUCUCUGGGUCUGGGACACAUUGCACCUUGACAGCUCUCCUGA
rnacentral:lncRNA from 1 species